CACGAGUCCGAUAGCAAACAAGUACCGUGAGGGAAAGUUGAAAAGUACUUUGAAGAGAGAGUAAACAGUGCGUGAAACCGUUCAAAGGUAAACAGGUGGAGUUGAACUGCAAGCUCUGGGAAUUCAACUGAUGAGUGUGAUUUGUGCUUGGGCAUACUGGCCGCCUUCAGUGUCUGUUUAAUUGCAGGUGCCUGCCUUUUUGGUGGGUAUGUGUGAAUCGUUUGCAUACGACGCACGCACUGUUGGUGUGAGGGUCUGCUUGUCAGUGCACUUUCUCAGGGUGUUCACCACGACCGGCACUGCUGCCUGUCUGCUAUGGCCAAACUGAUCAGGUCUGAUUUUUGUCAGUCUUGGUUGGGUCGGCAGGUGACUCUUUGGCUCAUCUAUGGGCUGUGAGUGUUACUAGCUGGCUGUAGUGGAGCUGUGCGGUGUGUUGGAGAUGGCGGCUUCGCAUGCGUGCCUAGACCUUCGGGCAUUGUUGAGUCUGGUCGGCUCGUUACUAGCUUCGGCUGGUCGGCCGAUGGCUUGAUUUUGUCACGUAGGCGGUUGCGUGUGUGGUUUGCAUUGGGCCAAUAGUCUGUGGUGUAGUGGUAGACGAUCCACCUGACCCGUCUUGAAACACGGACCAAGGAGUUUAACAUGUGCGCGAGUCAUUGGGUGUUACGAAACCCAAAGGCGAAGUGAAGGUAAAGGUUCGGCUUGUCCGGACUGAGGUGAGAUCCUGUUGUCUUGCUCAUACUUUCCAAGUUGCGAGCAGCGGGCGCAUCACCGGCCCGUCCCAUGACGUAGACAUGUGACCUCGUGUUGUGUGCACCGUCGGGGCGGAGCAAGAGCGUACACGUUGAGACCCGAAAGAUGGUGAACUAUGCUUGUGAAGGUUGAAGCCAGAGGAAACUCUGGUGGAGGACCGUAGC
rnacentral:rRNA from 1 species